UGGGGAAUAUUGGACAAUGGGCGCAAGCCUGAUCCAGCCAUGCCGCGUGAAUGAUGAAGGCCUUAGGGUUGUAAAAUUCUUUCAACGGUGAAGAUAAUGACGGUAACCGUAGAAGAAGCCCCGGCUAACUUCGUGCCAGCAGCCGCGGUAAUACGAAGGGGGCUAGCGUUGUUCGGAAUUACUGGGCGUAAAGCGCACGUAGGCGGGCUGAUUAGUUGGUGGUGAAAUCCCAGAGCUCAACUCUGGAACUGCCAUCAAUACUGUCAGCCUGGAGCAUAGUAGAGGUUAGUGGAAUUCCAAGUGUAGAGGUGAAAUUCGUAGAUAUUUGGAGGAACACCAGUGGCGAAGGCGACUGACUGGGCUAUUGCUGACGCUGAGGUGCGAAAGCGUGGGGAGCAAA
rnacentral:rRNA from 1 species